UUAGUUAUUUUUUAAGAAACAAUUGGUUUUGUAGAGCGAGCAGCACCAAACAGUGAGUGGUUUGUUGAAUGCCCUGGGUCUGCAGAAAUAUGCUGUUCUUUUUCAAGCUGAGGAGGUGGAUAUGUUAGCACUUAAACAAAUGGGAGACAAGGAUUUGAAGGACUUGGGAAUACCAAUGGGUCCAAGGAAGAAGAUUCUACUUGCAGUAUGCCCCCCUUCUAGAGUAAGGCCAUCACAAAUCUGAUUAAAUAUUUUGGAGAUCUCAUUAUUAUCAGUAGUAGUAGGAAUUUAUUAUCAUAUGUUGUGUACUUGAAAAAAUGUUAAAAAGGUUUGGGAGAAAUAUAUAAGUUGUUGGAUGAAAAGAGAGUGUUUCUCUCAUUUUAUCAUUGAUUUUUAAUUUUUGUU